UACGUAGGGUGCGAGCGUUGUCCGGAAUUACUGGGCGUAAAGAGCUCGUAGGUGGUUUGUCGCGUUGUUCGUGAAAACUCACAGCUCAACUGUGGGCGUGCGGGCGAUACGGGCAGACUAGAGUACUGCAGGGGAGACUGGAAUCCUGGUGUAGCGGUGGAAUGCGCAGAUAUCAGGAGGAACACCGGUGGCGAAGGCGGGUCUCUGGGCAGUAACUGACGCUGAGGAGCGAAAGCGUGGGGAGCGAACAGG
rnacentral:rRNA from 1 species